UACGGAGGGGACUAGCGUUGUUCGGAAUUACUGGGCGUAAAGCGCACGUAGGCGGAUUUGUAAGUCAGGGGUGAAAUCCCGAGGCUCAACCUCGGAACUGCCUUUGAUACUGCAAAUCUCGAGUCCGGAAGAGGUGAGUGGAAUUCCUAGUGUAGAGGUGAAAUUCGUAGAUAUUAGGAAGAACACCAGUGGCGAAGGCGGCUCACUGGUCCGGCACUGACGCUGAGGUGCGAAAGCGUGGGGAGCAAACAGG
rnacentral:rRNA from 1 species